rnacentral:lncRNA from 1 species
UCUCAAAUAAAAAUAACUAAAUACAAUAUUAAAAUUAUUAACAAUUACACCUUAAAUCCUAAGACGUAAACUUUAAGCCUAAUACUAAACUAAAACCCUACUGACCAAAUAAAAACAAUUACAUAUAAUAUUAUAAUUACUCAACCCUAAAUCCUAUACCUUCAACACUACACCCUAACCCUAAGCCCUACACACUCAACACUAUAUAAGUCAUAAACUGUAAAAGCUAUUGAAGCACUACAGGGUAGCGCCUCCUGUCAACAGUAUGGUGCCACCUGUUGAAGCACCAUAGGGAAAUAAACUCCACUAGAGACAUCAUGCACUACCUCCUUGGUGGAGACGUAUAGGAUGACACUAUUGUUCUGACAGUCCACCUAAAAAUGUGGCAUCGACCAGGAUGGCACCUUCAGUUAGAAUACAUUGACCGAUAUCUUGUGUAUUCUACAUGACA